AUGCGGCAGGCACAGGAACAUAGAAUCAAUAAUACCUUCCUAUCUCUGCAAACUAGGCGCACACGGAGUCUUGCAGUUGCUAUUACACAGCAAAAAGACCCUCAAGCAUUGCAUAGACCAUCAAUUAGAAGACAGCAUCAAAUGCAUGGCUGGAUUCAAGUUCAAGUUCCAGCUCAGGAGACAAUGUGGUUUAGAGGAACGAGAAAUGGACUUGGUAUUUGAAAUAUUCAGACUUCUAUCCUGACGGCAUGUCACUGAAUGAAAUUUCUCGGCAAUUCCCUGAGACUCAGUUUCCUAUUUGUGAGAUGAGAGAAAAGGUAAUAUUAUAAAAUUAGAUACCAGCCAUAUAUUAGGCAGUCAGUGCAACGGUCUGAGUGACUUUGAUCUUCCAUGUUAACAAAGAGCCUGCUGGGAAUCUGAUGACUCUUAGUGUUUCCAGAAAUCAAACCCACAAUUAUUUGAAAAUUAUGAAGGGUGAUUCUUCUUUAGGAACAUUUAGAAUGGUCUGUCUAGACUUUGAUAGUAAAUUAAUAAUCAAAUUUGAAGGACUGUAUCCCAUUUGAGUCUUGAUAGAUUAGGGUAAAGGGUAAGAGUGUUGACUUUUAAGUACAUUUUGAUUGAAUCUUGGAUCUAGCUUUUUAUAGCUGUGUAUUCUCCGAGGCUGUGGGAUCAUGUGUUAAAUAAUGUAGUAAUAAAUGAAUAGGCUUAUGGGCAGAAGAGAUUAGUGAUUAGAUAUUAGUGAUUGGGCAAUUACAUCAGUGUAGUCAUCACAUCUGUGUCAAUUUUCCUCAUCUUGCAGUAAAAUCAUCCCCAAAUACAAAGUUCACAUUUUUAUACAGCUAGUAUUGAACUGCAUCUUGGAUUAACAGGGUCCUUGUCUGGGGCUCCACAAAACCUUCCUCUGUCCUCAUCCCCUCUCCAAUGCACAAGGAGUCUUAACCCCAGUACCUCCCCGUUCUCCGAGGACCAAGAAUCAUGCAGUUCCUUCUCCUUGUUGCCCAGACAGUCCUUCCAGAACCAGCACAGCCCUCUUCUCUGGGUCCAUGUGGCUGCGGGCUGAUUGUGCCACUGGUCUGCAUAUCCUUGAACCCGGGGAUGGUCAAGGAUUGCCUGUUGCUGGAUCAUGUACACAGGACACACUGGGCUCAGGGAAUUGAGGAAGGGUAGAGAAAGUGGCUUGGCUGUGGUGUCACUGGUCCUCCAGAGCCUUCCAGGUCAUUAUAUGAGCUUUGGUUCAAAGCAGGAAGUUUGAUGUCAGAUAAAUGCCAUUUUACUGAAUACCUUUUUGGCUUGGCUUCUAACUUUGAAUUCUAGGUAGAGGGUGUGUAGUCCCUCAUUUUCAGAUAUUUUCAAAACCUAAUAAACAUUAGAGGAGGUUGCUUUUUCUAAUGAAAUUGGAAGGUCUGCUGUGUGCCUUUCAGUCCUGAGCCCCGGAGCAUUUAUACCCUGAUAUUUCCAAAGACAGGUGUAGAGGAAAAGGGAGUCAAGGAAAUUCUUGGCAGACAGGCAGAAGCAUUCCUAAGAUAUUUUUAAAUGACUUACAUUUCCCCAAGAAACUCAGGAUUUGGAUUAUCUAAGUAUCAAAAUGGGCCAUGCCGGAAGGUCCUUGGAUCUUCAUCUUUGUGACUUUUCUACAUAUAGAAACAGAUUGGAUUUAAGAACAUUUAAGUGAAAUAAAUUUUCUUUUGUACUACGUAUCCCCAAACAAAAAUAGUCUUUAAAAAGAGCCCCAAAUUGUAUAAGAUAUCCCCUACUUUGAUCAUCAGAUUUAACUUCCAGAACCCAUGUAUCACAUUGCCACUUCCCUGCUCAAUAAAAUUUCGAAGGCUUUCAAUGUCAAAAAGCUAAAGCCAAAAUUAUUUAAUCUUCAUGUAAGACUUCAUAUCCUGGUUUAAGUUUCUUUUUUUAAUUAAAAUUUUAAUUUUGAGAUGAUAUAGAUUUUCAUGCAGUUGUAAGAAAUAAUACAGUGAAAUAAUUCCAUGUACCCUUUAUCGUUUUCCCCAAUGGUUACAUCUUGCAAAAUCCUGGAGCAAUAUCACAACCAGAGUAUUGACACUGAUACAGUCUAGAUACAG
rnacentral:lncRNA from 1 species